CAGGCCGGGACACUGAGGCCCGGUCUUUUCACCUCCGAAUAAAUAUGCUCUUAUCUGGCAGUUAGCUAUCUGGAGGAUAAAUAUUUAUUCGCCAGAUAAAAUGUACCCGUCUUUUCACGUCAAUUUAUGUUCCAGUUAGUUAUCCGGUAGAUAAGCUUAAAACUUUAACUUAACCUAACAUAAACAUAAUUAGAUUCACAUAAUCAAGACCAAGAUGAUUUUCUCGAUUUUAUUUCCAUUUUGGAAGAAGGAAAUAAAGAAAACAUUGAUUAUGGUGAAAAAGUUUACUGGAGAACUUGAACAAGAGGUAAAUAAAUUUUAAAUUAGUGGAAAACUGUUGAUUUGUAUGUAAAGAAGACAAAGACAAGUUUAAAUAAAGACAAGCUAGCUAAUGAAACAGAUGCAGUGUUACAGAUAUGACAAACAUCUAGAAGAUUCAAUCCUGCGUUCUUAAAGAAAAAAGCUAGUUCCAGAAGUAAGCUACCAAUAAUAAACUAGAGAAUGUAUUACAAGAAAGAACAACGCUAAUACUAAACAUACCUCAAUUGCUUCAGAUAGAAAAAGAGGACGAAAAGGUACAACACAAGCGUGCUAGAGAAAAUGAAAGGGCAGAAGAGAGACACAAAAAUUCAUUGAUUUAUUAAAUUUAAAAAUUAAAUUAUACAAAGGACAAUUAAAUAAAGAAUAAAAAAAUGAUA
rnacentral:lncRNA from 1 species